GAUGAACGCUGGCGGCGUGCUUAACACAUGCAAGUCGAACGAAGCACUUUCUUAAGCUUGCUUUUGAAAGUGACUGAGUGGCGGACGGGUGAGUAACGCGUGGGUAACCUACCUCAUACAGGGGGAUAACAGUUAGAAAUGACUGCUAAUACCGCAUAAAAUGGCAGCUUCGCAUGAAGCAACCAUCAAAGAUUUANCGGUAUGAGAUGGACCCCGCGUCUGAUUAGCUAGUUGGUAAGGUAACGGCUUACCAAGGCGACGAUCAGUAGCCGACCUGAGAGGGUGACCGGCCACAUUGGGACUGAGACACGGCCCAGACUCCUACGGGAGGCAGCAGUGGGGAUAUUGCACAAUGGAGGAAACUCUGAUGCAGCAACGCCGCGUGA
rnacentral:rRNA from 1 species